GACGAACGCUGGCGGCGUGCUUAACACAUGCAAGUCGAACGGAAAGGCCCUGCUUUUGUGGGGUGCUCGAGUGGCGAACGGGUGAGUAACACGUGAGUAACCUGCCCUUGACUUUGGGAUAACUUCAGGAAACUGGGGCUAAUACCGUAUAGGAGCUCCUGCUGCAUUGUGGGGGUUGGAAAGUUUCGGCGGUUGGGGAUGGACUCGCGGCUUAUCAGCUUGUUGGUGGGGUAGUGGCUUACCCAGGCUUUGACGGGUAGCCGGCCUGAGAGGGUGACCGGCCACAUUGGGACUGAGAUACGGCCCAGACUCCUACGGGAGGCAGCAGUGGGGAAUAUUGCACAAUGGGCGGAAGCCUGAUGCAGCAACGCCGCGUGCGGGAUGACGGCCUUCGGGUUGUAAACCGCUUUCGCCUGUGACGAAGCGUGAGUGACGGUAAUGGGUAAAGAAGCACCGGCUAACUACGUG
rnacentral:rRNA from 1 species